AUCCAUUUAUAUAUUCACUGGUGAUGGAUGAUAGUUAUACAAUUAUGUUCAUUCAUUCAGAGAUCCGAUUCAGAUAUCUAGAGCCAGAUGCUCAUUAUUUUAUUUUACCUUCACCUGGCUUUUAUGAUUAGAGCUUUUUUAAUUCUCUAUCCUAUCAUUCCAGAUACUGAGGCAACUGGAGCUCCAAUAAGAAGAAGCAGCUUAAGCUCCGUGAGGCCAAGAAGAAGCACCACACAGUCACAGAAAAAGUCAGUGACCUGACUAAGGAGAGAGACUCCCUCUGCCUACAAGUUGGUCAAAAUACAGAUGACAGUGGGACAAUUGACACAUCUUCCCCGGCCAACUCGUCUCCUGGUGCAUCUUUUUUCUCUUCAUCCUCCAGUCCAUCCAACUCCUCUUCAUCCUCUUCAUCCAGCUCCUCAUCCUCAUCAACUGAUUCUUCCGACUCCGACAAGAAACCGAAGAAAAGACGCAAGAAGAAAAAGAAGCAUCACCACCAGAGUCACAAGAAAAAGGAAGAAAAAAGAGAAGGAAAAAAGGCAACAUGGCAAGCAGAGAGGUUGCAGGAUCAAGAUCCAGUUUCCGAG